rnacentral:tRNA from 1 species
GAAGGUAGAGCUCAGUGGUAGAGUGCAUGCUUAACAUGCACAAGGUCCUGGGUUCAAUCCUCAGUACCUUCA